AGCGAACGCUGGCGGCAGGCCUAACACAUGCAAGUCGAACGGACCCUUCGGGGUUAGUGGCGGACGGGUGAGUAACACGUGGGAACGUGCCUUUAGGUUCGGAAUAGCUCCUGGAAACGGGUGGUAAUGCCGAAUGUGCCCUUCGGGGGAAAGAUUUAUCGCCUUUAGAGCGGCCCGCGUCUGAUUAGAUAGUUGGUGAGGUAAUGGCUCACCAAGGCGACGAUCAGUAGCUGGUCUGAGAGGAUGACCAGCCACAUUGGGAAUGAGACACGGCGCAAACUCCUACGGGAGGCAGCAGUGGGGAAUCUUGCGCAAUGGGCGAAAGCCUGACGCAGCCAUGCCGCGUGGAUGAUGAAGGUCUUAGGAUUGUAAAAUCCUUUCACCGGUGAAGAUAAUGACUGUAGCCGGAGAAGAAGCCCCGGCUAACUUCGUGCCAGCAGCCGCGGUAAGAC
rnacentral:rRNA from 1 species